UACGAAGGGGGCUAGCGUUGCUCGGAAUCACUGGGCGUAAAGCGCACGUAGGCGGCUUUGUAAGUUAGAGGUGAAAGCCCGGGGCUCAACCCCGGAAUUGCCUUUAAGACUGCAUCGCUUGAAUCCGGGAGAGGUGAGUGGAAUUCCGAGUGUAGAGGUGAAAUUCGUAGAUAUUCGGAAGAACACCAGUGGCGAAGGCGGCUCACUGGACCGGUAUUGACGCUGAGGUGCGAAAGCGUGGGGAGCAAACAGG
rnacentral:rRNA from 1 species